rnacentral:rRNA from 1 species
CCUACGGGGGGCAGCAGUGAGGAAUAUUGGUCAAUGGACGCAAGUCUGAACCAGCCAUGCCGCGUGCAGGAAGACGGCUCUAUGAGUUGUAAACUGCUUUUGUACGAGGGUAAACGCAGAUACGCGUAUCUGUCUGAAAGUAUCGUACGAAUAAGGAUCGGCUAACUCCGUGCCAGAAGCCGCGGUAAUACGGAGGAUUCAAGCGUUAUCCGGAUUUAUUGGGUUUAAAGGGUGCGUAGGCGGUCGGAUAAGUUAGGGGUGAAAUCCCGAGGCUCAACUUCGGAAUUGCGGCGGAUACUGGUGGGCGGGAGAGUAGGGGCGGUAGGCGGAAUGUAUGGUGUAGCGGGGGAAUGCGUAGAGAUCA